UACAGAGGUCUCAAGCGUUGUUCGGAUUCAUUGGGCGUAAAGGGUGUGUAGGUGGCGCGUUAAGUCGGGUGUGAAAUCUUGGAGCUUAACUCCGAAACUGCAUUCGAUACUGCCGUGCUUGAGGACUGGAGAGGAGACUGGAAUUUACGGUGUAGCGGUGAAAUGCGUAGAUAUCGUAAGGAAGACCAGUGGCGAAGGCGGGUCUCUGGACAGUUCCUGACGCUGAGGCACGAAGGCCAGGGGAGCAAACGGG
rnacentral:rRNA from 1 species